rnacentral:lncRNA from 1 species
AGUAUCAGAUGAGGCCUCUGUUGUGGUGCUGGGAAGGUGGUGCUUGGGCUAUGGAGAAACAAUCCCACAACCUGAAUAAUAGCCUGUGGCCAACAGAAUUCUGUGUCUUUUCUUCCAAGUAAAGCCGGCUACUGGGCAAAUUCCAACUCGGGUGAUCCCAUUGUUUUCAACAUUAAUCAUUCUCAGAAAUAUUGAGUUUUCUAAAGUGUUUUGCCAAGGCGGCCCUUGGAAACCUGUCUAUGCUUCUGGAUGAACCAACCUAAGUCACAUCACUCCAGAUAUCAUGGAGGAUAUCCAUAUGGUUAUAUGGAAUCAUAGAAACUUGUGGACGGAGGAGACUUAGGGAUUAUCUAGUCCAACCUUCUUGAUUUCAGGUGCUGAUAAUUCCCAGGACUACCACCAGCCUCGCCUUUGUGCUGACAAGACUUCCUGAUACGUCCUCAAGGAUGAUCAAAUGAACUUCAUGACUUGUUUCUGUUUCUGCCCUUGGACGACUUCUGCGGAAAUCAUCUCUAGAUCUUACCUAGUCAAUCCAGGAAAAUCUCUCCUUACACCCUCUGUCUGUUUCAAUUCGGAGGGAGAAAUUGCCUAAUUGGGCCUUGUUCUGUUGCCUCCACCUCCCGGGUUCAAGCAAUUCUCCUGCCUCAGCCACCUGAGUAGGUGGGACUACAGGCACGCACCACCACGCCUGGCUAAUUUUUGUGUUUUUGGAAGAGACGGGGUUUCACCAUGUUGGCCAGGCUGAGCUCAUUCCUUUUUAUUGCUGAGUAAGAAUAUGCUACAAUUUUUUAUCCAUUUAUCUAUUGAUGUACAUUUGGCUUGUUUCUAGUUUUUGGCUACUACAAGUAAAGCUGCUAUGAACAGUCAUGUAUAUAUUGUGUGGACAUAUACUUUCAUUUCUCGUGGAUAAAUAGCUAGGAGUAGAAUGGUUAGGUCAUAUGGUGACUGCAUAUUUACAUUUUAAGAAAUUGUUUCUCAAAGAGGUUGAACAAUUUUACAUUUUCACUAGUAGUGUAUGAAAUUUCUGGUUGCUCCACAUCCUUGAAAACACUUGAUAUAAUCAGUCUUUUCAAUUUUAGCCAUUCUAGUGGUUAUGUAGUGGUGUAGUUGAACAUUUUUUUCAUGUGCUUAUUUGCUAUUUGUAUAUCUUUUUUGAAGUGUUAAUUAAAAUAUUCUGCCCAUUUUUAAUAAAAUUGUGGUGGUGGUGUUAGAGUUUUUAAAAAAUGUAUUCCAGAUAUCAGUCCUUUAACAGAUACAUUAUUUGUAAAGAUUUUCUCCCAGUCUAGGGUUUCUCAUUUCCUUUUUAAAAUAGUGUCUUUGGAUAAAGUCUAAUUUAUGGUUUCUUUUUAUUCCUGUAUCCAAAUCUUUGCCAAACUAAGGUCACUAUGAUUUUUUUUCCUAUUGUGCUCUAGAAGUUUUAUAAUUUUAACUCUUGUAUUUAGGCUUAUGUUUUAUUUUGAGUUAAAUUUUGUAUAUACUAAGCGGUAAGAAUCAAGGUUCAUUUUUGUGCAUAUAGAUACCAAGUUGUUCCAGAACCAUUUAUUGAAAAGAUUAUUCUUUCUCUUUUAAAUUGUCCUGGCACCUUUGUCAACAAUCCUAAAUAUGUGGGUCUAUGUUCUAUUCUAAUUCAUUUAUUGAUCUAUUUUUAUGCGAAUACCACACUGUCUUGGUUAAUGAAACUUUGUAAAAGCUUUGAAGUUAGGCAGUACGAACCCUCUGGCUCUUUUUUCAAAGUUGUUUUUCCAAAGAAUUUUCUACAGAGUCAGUCGUGUUAUCUGCAAAUAAAGCCAGUUUUAUUUCUUCUUUUCAAAU